rnacentral:piRNA from 1 species
GGUACUAGCAACUGGAUGGGUCUUU